UGAGUAACCUGCCCUUAACUCUGGGAUAAGCCUGGGAAACUGGGUCUAAUACCGGAUAUGACUCCUCAUCGCAUGGUGGGGGGUGGAAAGCUUUUUGUGGUUUUGGAUGGACUCGCGGCCUAUCAGCUAGUUGGUGAGGUAAUGGCUCACCAAGGCGAUGAUGGGUAGCCGGCCUGAGAGGGUGACCGGCCACACUGGGACUGAGACACGGCCCAGACUCCUACGGGAGCAG
rnacentral:rRNA from 1 species